ensembl:lncRNA
UGCUAAUCCGCUCCUCUGGCUCCCCCCACCUGUCCUCCCAGGGUAAACUGAGGCACAGAACGAGCAGGGUUGUACAAACAGCAGCAUCCCGCGGGCAGCCCGUGCCGACAUCACCGCACACGGAUGGGGGAGCAGGGAAGGAGCCCCAGAACCCUCCCCAGGCUCAUCCCUGAGCCUCUUCCAGUAGCCAGGGGUGGGUCCCUGGGGGAAAAGGCCCCUCUGUGACCUUCAGGACACUUCAUGCUCCCUCUCCUUGCUCCUGCAGAGUCGGUGCCGAUGGCGGUGAUCAUCGGAGUGGCCGUGGGGGCCGGCGUGGCGUUCCUGGUGCUGAUGGCCACCAUCGUCGCCUUCUGCUGCGCCCGCUCCCAGAGGAAUCUCAAGGGUGUGGUUUCUGCCAAGAACGACAUCCGCGUGGAGAUCGUGCACAAGGAGCCGGCCGCGGGCAGGGAGGCGGAGGAGCACCCGACCAUCAAGCAGCUGAUGAUGGACCGGGGGGAGUUCCAGCAGGAUUCGGUGCUGAAGCAGCUCGAGGUGCUCAAGGAGGAGGAGAAGGAGUUUCAAAACCUGAAGGACCCCACCAACGGCUACUACAGCGUGAACACCUUCAAGGAGCACCACUCCACCCCCACCAUCUCGCUCUCGGGCUGCCCGGCCGACCUGCGCCCGGCCGGCAAGCAGCGGGUGCCCACGGGCAUGUCCUUCACCAACAUCUACAGCACCCUGAGCGGGCAGAGCCGCCUCUACGACUACAGCCAGCGCUUCGUGCUGGGCAUGGGCAGCAGCUCCAUCGAGCUGUGCGAGCGCGAGUUCCAGCGCGGCUCCAUGAGCGACAGCAGCUCCUUCCUCGACACCCAGUGCGACAGCAGCAUCAGCAGCAGCGGCAAGCAGGACGGCUACGUGCAGUUCGACAAGGCCAGCAAGGCCUCCGCAUCCUCCUCCCACCAUUCCCAGUCGUCUUCCCAAAACUCGGACCCCAGCCGGCCCCUGCAGAGGCGGAUGCAGACGCACGUUUGAGCGCCCCGGGCCGCUCGGACCCUCCGCGUGGGCGCCGUGGCUGCGCGCUCGGACAGUGGCGCCCGCCGGCAGCGGCGUGGCCAGAGGCCGGCUCCAGCCCCCGGAGCGGGGCUGCGGGCAGGGGCCGGCCGAGCACCCCCUCCCCGGCACACGCUAAGCACAACCCCGCCGAGGACGCGCCGAGCCCCGCGGAGCCGUCCCCGCCGCGCAGCCCCGCCGCUCGCCUCCGCUUCCCGCUGCCCUCCCCCGCCGCCUCCCCUCCCUUCGUGCUGUUCGGUGUCCGUACUUAUAGAGUCCGUUUCGGGGGGUCCCGCCGUGGGGACAGGAGGUGGGCACAGCGGUGGGACAGGGACUCCCCGGGAAGGGCCUCUCCACGCUGUAUCGCGGCACCGCGGUCAAUACAAGAGGUGUUUCUCGUGGCACGCCUGGGCUGGUGGCCGCCCCGCGGGGACAUCGGCUUCCCUGCCACAGAGCUGGCCUGGAGUCCGGGUGUGCCAUGGGGCAGGCCCCAUGGGGGCAGAAAUGGCCGGUGGUGGAGGGAAACUGAGGCACGGGGCAGCUGGGACCCCAGCGUGGGAGCCAGGAGAUGGGGCGUCACAACAGGUAAGGGGAUGCGGGGACACAGUGGCAUGGGGACAGGCCACCCUCCCUGCACCUCACAGCCCCAAAACUCCCUCACACCCCCCAUCGUGCCCCAGGAGCACCCAGCCCAUCCCAGCCUCACCAGGACUUUAUUGGGUGCCAGCAUGAGCCCCAACACCCCCAUCCAUGGGUCCCCCCGACACCUGCAGCCCCACGGGGGCAGAGGGGACCCUACACCAACAGGGAGAAGGCACCAGUCAACCCCUCCAUGGUGAGGGGACAUCCCAAAUGCCCACCCCUGCAGCCAAGCACACACCCGCCCACCCAAGGCCCCCCCGUCCCUGACACCAGUGGCAUGCAGGCCCUGGGUGAAAGCUCCACCAUAAAUAAGCAUUUAAAUUAAUUAAAUUAAUCUGCACCACCAAAGGGCCCUGGCAGAUCCCGAAAGCCAAGCACCCCAGGGUGCCCCCACCCAGGGGGGCUGUGGGGACGAGUCCCUACACCAGCGCUAAGGCACAGGACAGGG